CCCCCAGGAAAAGUCCCUUUUUCCUAAAUGUAUACCAACAAAACAGCGAAGAAUAACAAAUAAAUAAACGGAAAGUAAGUUUUAGGCUUUAUCCUUUGUCCUUGUUUAACAAAAUCGAUCUAAAUUGUUACGUUUUUCUACCACUAAGUAAUGAUAAAUUAUUGUUAAUAAUUUUUUAUUUUUUGGUUGCUCAGAAGGCAGGAAAGAGCAUUUCCAGGUUUCAAAUUUGAAAAAUUUUCUGGAGAUUAUGCCCCCACACACGUGGCCUUCGGGCAUUGGUAUCCCCCUCUAAUAAGUAUAAUGAUAAAUUAUGGUUAAUAUUCUAUUUUACUUUUUGUGCAUUUUUUCCUUCUUUUAUUUCAAAUACAAGUAUAGUUAGCAUAAAUUUUAGAGCAAAUUUGGAUGCUCAGAAUGCAGGAAAUGGCAUUUCCGUGUUUCAAAUUUCAAAAAUUUUCUGGGGGAGUACACCCCCACACACGUGACCAUUGAGAUCCUCCUCUAAUAAGUAAUGAUAAAUUAUGGUUAAUAUUUUUUUUUAAACUUUUUGUGGGGUUUUUCCUUCUUUUAUUUAAUUUUGGAGCGCAUUUGGAUGCUCAGAAUGCAGGAAAUGGCAUUUUUGUGCUUCAAAUUUCAAAAUUUUUCUGGGGAAGUACACCCCCCCUCAUUCAUGCGUGCAUGGUAUAUUCGGCGCACACGUGGCCUUCAGCCAUUGCUAUCUCCCUGUAAUAUAUUAUCUCACAGAAAGGUCCCUUUUCAAAAAAUCCCCCCCACGGGAAAAUUCUUAAAAAAGGCCCUGUGACAGACAGCCAUAAUUUUUUUUACCCAAUCCAUGAGCUAGUCAAAAACUUGAUUACGCAACCCAUAUCUCUUCGGUACCAACCCCGGGUAUAAAUAAUGAACGGUCCCUAAUGGGAGUAAUGCUAUUCACAAAUUAUUGUAUAGAUUGACAUUAAUUUAUCAGUUCGCUGAACAUGAAACCAAAUAUAUAUCGUUUCGAAAUCUAUUUAACACGAUCCUUUGACAAAGUUAUACUGUGCACAAAGCAUCAAAACAAAGACAGUCAGUUGUUUUCGAUAAAUCUAAUAUAGACUUUUAGAUUUUUUGAUGUUCAGUCGUUGCACAUAUGUGCUAUAUUUGUUUAGCUAUAUAAUUCUAAAUACCUAGUAUUUAAAGAAUUAUGUAAGGCUGUAGUUAUUACAACUUGCUAUAGAUGAAAUAAAUUUCACAAGAAAAACAACAAACAUGCUGUUUCAACUUUUUCAGAAAUGAACAAAUAAAAAAAAUGUAUUAAAAAAUCAAAUCAGUCGCUUUCAUCUCCUUAAGAAUUAAACAGCCCUGCUAAACAAAUACUGGCAACGCAGAUUGUUUUAUAUGCGCACGGGUUAACGACUUCAUCUAGUUUUCGGACUGAAGAAGGUUUCAAGCUAUUUUCAUGUGAGCGAGAUAUUUACCGUUCAUGUAAACAACACAACAGUUUUAUGUUAAUUCACUUAAAUUUCUUUUGUUUUUGGUGCAUUAUAUGCUAUAAGUGCAUGGUACAUUUAAAAACUUACAUACUCCUGCAUGGUAUACCUAUAAAAUUAACGGUUACCUCGGCCCGCACGUAAGGUAUGCUUUAAUACUUUGGCCAUGCAUAUAUGCCUUAAUUCUUACGUUGUAUUCUAUUAGCCAAUAAAAUUCAAAUAGACUUAAUAUAUCCCUUUGACAGUAUCAUCAAUUUCGUAUCAACUGCUUUAGCCAAUAAAAUCGAAAGGAAUAAAGAUCAAUGUGAAACUGAACAUUAAAAAAUAUUACAGAGUUUGCCGAACUACGCUGUCGUUCUCGGCACAAUUUUGUGAAUAACCUCCGAAUAAAUGAGCGCAAUAUUUGUAUAGUAAACAUACAAAUUUGCAAGCGUUCUGACUCCGUGUCAAAAAUUAUGAUCUUUCUGUCAUUUGUAUAAAACAACCUAAAAACUAGAAAUAAUUACAGUCUACAUGUGCAAGUAGUAGUAUUAUGCAAGAAAAUAAACCAAAGGUGACUG